rnacentral:rRNA from 1 species
GGCUCAGAACGAACGCUGGCGGCGCGUUUUAAGCAUGCAAGUCGAACGGCAAGCACUGUAGCAAUAUGGUGCUGAGAGUGGCGAACGGGUGAGUAACACGUAGGUGAUCUACCCUUGGGUGGGGGAUAGUCCGUGGAAACACGGGGUAAUACCGCAUGAGGCCUCGUGGAUAGAGCCAUGAGGUGAAAGGUGCAAUUGCACCGUCUGGGGAUGAGCCUGCGCUCCAUUAGGUAGUUGGCGGGGUAAGAGCCCACCAAGCCCACGAUGGAUAGCCGGCCUGAGAGGGUGUACGGCCACACUGGAACUGAGACACGGUCCAGACUCCUACGGGAGGCAGCAGCUAAGAAUCUUCCGCAAUGGGGGAAACCCUGACGGAGCGACGCCGCGUGGACGAUGGAGGCCGUAAGGUUGUAAAGUCCUUUUGCAGGUGAAGAAUAACUGGGGGAGUGGAAAGCCCCUGGGAUGACGUUAGCCUGCGAAUAAGCCCCGGCUAAUUACGUGCCAGCAGCCGCGGUAAUACGUAUGGGGCAAGCGUUGUUCGGAGUUAUUGGGCGUAAAGGGCGUGUAGGCGGCUCAUCAAGUCUGGUGUGAAAUCGCGGGGCUCAACCCCGCGUAUGCGCUGGAAACUGGUGGGCUUGAGUUCUUGAGGGGAAGCUGGAAUUCCAGGUGUAGGGGUGAAAUCUGUAGAUAUCUGGAAGAACACCGGUGGCGAAGGCGAGCUUCUAUCAGAGGACUGACGCUGAGGCGCGAAAGCGUGGGGAGCAAACAGGAUUAGAUACCCUGGUAGUCCACGCUGUAAACGAUGUGCACUAGGCGUGGGGCACGUACGUGUUCUGUGCCGUAGCUAACGUGAUAAGUGCACCGCCUGGGGAGUAUGCUCGCAAGGGUGAAACUCAAG